rnacentral:rRNA from 1 species
GACAGAGGCCCCAAGCGUUAUCCGGAAUCAUUGGGCGUAAAGGGUGUGUAGGUGGCGCGCUAAGUCGGGUGUGAAAUUUCGGAGCUUAACUCCGAAACUGCAUUCGAUACUGGCGUGCUUGAGGACUGGAGAGGAGACUGGAAUUUACGGUGUAGCAGUGAAAUGCGUAGAGAUCGUAAGGAAGACCAGUGGCGGAGGCGAGUUUCUGGACAGUAACUGACGCUGAGGCACGAAGGCCAGGGGAGCAAACGGG